GUGUGAGCGGUAUUCCACGCCGUUCGUGCCGCAGCUAACGCAUUAAGCACCCCGCCUGGGGAGUACGGCCGCAAGGCUAAAACUCAAAGGAAUUGACGGGGGCCCGCACAAGCGGCGGAGCAUGUGGCUUAAUUCGACGCAACGCGAAGAACCUUACCAAGGCUUGACAUACACCGAAAACUCGUAGAGAUACGGGGUCCGCAAGGGCGGUGUACAGGUGGUGCAUGGUUGUCGUCAGCUCGUGUCGUGAGAUGUUGGGUUAAGUCCCGCAACGAGCGCAACCCUCGUUCUAUGUUGCCAGCGGGUUAUGCCGGGGACUCAUAGGAGACUGCCGGGGUCAACUCGGAGGAAGGUGGGGAUGACGUCAAAUCAUCAUGCCCCUUAUGUCUUGGGCUGCACACAUGCUACAAUGGCCGGUACAAAGGGCUGCUAAACCGCGAGGUGGAGCGAAUCCCAAAAAGCCGGUCUCAGUUCGGAUUGGGGUCUGCAACUCGACCCCAUGAAGUCGGAGUCGCUAGUAAUCGCAGAUCAGCAACGCUGCGGUGAAUACGUUCCCGGGCCUUGUACACACCGCCCGUCACGUCACGAAAGUCGGUAACACCCGAAGCCAGUGGCCCAACCCGCAAGGGGGGGAGCUGUCGAAGGUGGGGCUG
rnacentral:rRNA from 1 species